rnacentral:rRNA from 1 species
AGAGUUUGAUCCUGGCUCAGGACGAACGCUGGCGGCGUGCCUAAUACAUGCAAGUAGAACGCUGAAGUCUGGUGCUUGCACUAGACGGAUGAGUUGCGAACGGGUGAGUAACGCGUAGGUAACCUGCCUCAUAGCGGGGGAUAACUAUUGGAAACGAUAGCUAAUACCGCAUAACAGUAUUUACCGCAUGGUAGAUACUUGAAAGGAGCAAUUGCUUCACUAUGAGAUGGACCUGCGUUGUAUUAGCUAGUUGGUGAGGUAACGGCUCACCAAGGCAUCGAUACAUAGCCGACCUGAGAGGGUGAUCGGCCACACUGGGACUGAGACACGGCCCAGACUCCUACGGGAGGCAGCAGUAGGGAAUCUUCGGCAAUGGGGGCAACCCUGACCGAGCAACGCCGCGUGAGUGAAGAAGGUUUUCGGAUCGUAAAGCUCUGUUGUAAGAGAAGAACUGUGAGAAGAGUGGAAAGUUUCUCACUUGACGGUAUCUUACCAGAAAGGGACGGCUAACUACGUGCCAGCAGCCGCGGUAAUACGUAGGUCCCGAGCGUUGUCCGGAUUUAUUGGGCGUAAAGCGAGCGCAGGCGGUUUGAUAAGUCUGAAGUAAAAGGCUGUGGCUUAACCAUAGUACGCUUUGGAAACUGUCAAACUUGAGUGCAGAAGGGGAGAGUGGAAUUCCAUGUGUAGCGGUGAAAUGCGUAGAUAUAUGGAGGAACACCGGUGGCGAAAGCGGCUCUCUGGUCUGUAACUGACGCUGAGGCUCGAAAGCGUGGGGAGCGAACAGGAUUAGAUACCCUGGUAGUCCACGCCGUAAACGAUGAGUGCUAGGUGUUGGGUCCUUUCCGGGACUCAGUGCCGCAGCUAACGCAUUAAGCACUCCGCCUGGGGAGUACGACCGCAAGGUUGAAACUCAAAGGAAUUGACGGGGGCCCGCACAAGCGGUGGAGCAUGUGGUUUAAUUCGAAGCAACGCGAAGAACCUUACCAGGUCUUGACAUCCC